AGAGUUUGAUCCUGGCUCAGGACGAACGCUGGCGGCGUGCUUAACACAUGCAAGUCGAACGGAAAGGCCCUUCGGGGUACUCGAGUGGCGAACGGGUGAGUAACACGUGGGUGAUCUGCCCUGCACUUUGGGAUAAGCCUGGGAAACUGGGUCUAAUACCGAAUAGGACCACGCGCUUCAUGGUGUGUGGUGGAAAGCUUUUGCGGUGUGGGAUGGGCCCGCGGCCUAUCAGCUUGUUGGUGGGGUAAUGGCCUACCAAGGCGACGACGGGUAGCCGGCCUGAGAGGGUGACCGGCCACACUGGGACUGAGAUACGGCCCAGACUCCUACGGGAGGCAGCAGUGGGGAAUAUUGCACAAUGGGCGCAAGCCUGAUGCAGCGACGCCGCGUGAGGGAUGACGGCCUUCGGGUUGUAAACCUCUUUCAAUAGGGACGAAGCGCAAGUGACGGUGCCUAUAGAAGAAGCACCGGCCAACUACGUGCCAGCAGCCGCGGUAAUACGUAGGGUGCGAGCGUUGUCCGGAAUUACUGGGCGUAAAGAGCUCGUAGGUGGUUUGUCGCGUUGUUCGUGAAAACUCACAGCUUAACUGUGGGCGUGCGGGCGAUACGGGCAGACUAGAGUACUGCAGGGGAGACUGGAAUUCCUGGUGUAGCGGUGGAAUGCGCAGAUAUCAGGAGGAACACCGGUGGCGAAGGCGGGUCUCUGGGCAGUAACUGACGCUGAGGAGCGAAAGCGUGGGGAGCGAACAGGAUUAGAUACCCUGGUAGUCCAA
rnacentral:rRNA from 1 species